rnacentral:rRNA from 1 species
CGGGAAAAGCUCAAAUUUAAAAUCUGGCAGUCUUUGGCUGUCCGAGUUGUAAUUUAGAGAAGUGUUACCCGUGCUGGACUAUGUAAAAGUCUUCUGGAAUGAAGCAUCAUGGAGGGUGAGAAUCCCGUC